rnacentral:rRNA from 1 species
ACACAUGCAAGUCGAACGGCAGCACGGGUGCUUGCACCUGGUGGCGAGUGGCGAACGGGUGAGUAAUACAUCGGAACGUGUCCUGUAGUGGGGGAUAGCCCGGCGAAAGCCGGAUUAAUACCGCAUACGAUCUACGGAUGAAAGCGGGGGAUCUUCGGACCUCGCGCUAUAGGGGCGGCCGAUGGCGGAUUAGCUAGUUGGUGGGGUAAAGGCUCACCAAGGCGACGAUCCGUAGCUGGUCUGAGAGGACGACCAGCCACACUGGGACUGAGACACGGCCCAGACUCCUACGGGAGGCAGCAGUGGGGAAUUUUGGACAAUGGGCGAAAGCCUGAUCCAGCAAUGCCGCGUGUGUGAAGAAGGCCUUCGGGUUGUAAAGCACUUUUGUCCGGAAAGAAAUCCUUGAUCCUAAUAUGGUCGGGGGAUGACGGUACCGGAAGAAUAAGCACCGGCUAACUACGUGCCAGCAGCCGCGGUAAUACGUAGGGUGCAAGCGUUAAUCGGAAUUACUGGGCGUAAAGCGUGCGCAGGCGGUGAUGUAAGACCGAUGUGAAAUCCCCGGGCUCAACCUGGGAACUGCAUUGGUGACUGCAUCGCUUGAGUAUGGCAGAGGGGGGUAGAAUUCCACGUGUAGCAGUGAAAUGCGUAGAGAUGUGGAGGAAUACCGAUGGCGAAGGCAGCCCCCUGGGUCAAUACUGACGCUCAUGCACGAAAGCGUGGGGAGCAAACAGGAUUAGAUACCCUGGUAGUCCACGCCCUAAACGAUGUCAACUGGUUGUCGGGUCUUCAUUGACUUGGUAACGUAGCUAACGCGUGAAGU